GUGGGGAAUAUUGCACAAUGGAGGAAACUCUGAUGCAGCGAUGCCGCGUGAGGGAAGAAGGUUUUCGGAUUGUAAACCUCUGUCAUCGGGGACGAUAAUGACGGUACCCGAGAAGGAAGCUCCGGCUAACUACGUGCCAGCAGCCGCGGUAAUACGUAGGGAGCAAGCGUUAUCCGGAAUUACUGGGUGUAAAGGGAGUGUAGGCGGGGUAGCAAGUCAGAUGUGAAAAUUAUGGGCUCAACUCAUAACCUGCAUUUGAAACUGUUGCUCUUGAGUGAAGUAGAGGUAAGCGGAAUUCCUAGUGUAGCGGUGAAAUGCGUAGAUAUUAGGAGGAACAUCAGUGGCGAAGGCGGCUUACUGGGCUUUUACUGACGCUGAGGCUCGAAAGCGUGGGUAGCAAACAGG
rnacentral:rRNA from 1 species